GAUAAGAUUUUUCUGGCCUGAGUGCUGUUGUCAGAGCUCUAUCAAGUGUAGUUUGUUGAAUUUCUAUAUCAAUUCUUGGCUGCAAAAAAAAUAGUAAUCUGAUUUGGUGCACGAGAAUAUUCAACUCUUCCGAUUCUCGAUGGCCGUUCAUGGAGUGUUUCAGUUGUGUUUUACAAGCUACAGUUUAUUAUUUAUUUAGAAUUACCGAAUUUCAAUUUAGGUUGGCGUAGUGGUUAGUUCAUGAAAGUACAUACACGUCCUUUGGGACCAGUGUAGAAAAAGUGUAGCCGAGGUAAGUAUAUUUCCUUAACUUGCGUGCUGACAUAAUUAAAAUGAGGCAUGCAGUACACUAAUUCAACCUGCUUCAUUACUAUAGUCGGAUACAACUUUAGAAAAAAGGGGGCGUUUACUCCCCUGAGGCGGAGGCACACGAGCAUUCAAUGGGCGCGCACUCUGGACUAACGUCAUGAGCCGGACGGCCGGUGACUCUGCCGACGGAGAAGAUGGCCACCCGCGCUUCGAACUGGGCGAGGUCGCGUCAGCUGUGUGCUUCGGCCCCUCGUCAGAGUGAAUUCCAGAACUGUUUGUGAUGGUCUAUCAUGCCAGAAAUAUUACUGCGAGCUUACAAUGCUGCAUUUGUGCCACGUGCGUUUAUUCUGAGCUGUGAUCCGGCGAAGGAACAUUGCAGUGAGCAUCGCUGGCGCUGCGCUACGCUUUGCCUGAAAACAGGAUCCCGCGGCGACCGCUACAAACACACAUCCUGCGUGUUUGUUCCAUGUUGUUUUAUAUUGCUCCUGAGUGAAGUUACGACGAGAAAAGUUUUCCAAAGACUGGUGCCUACUGUUAGCAGCAGGUGUGUUCCUGUACUGUGUCACUGCGAUUUUUGUCGGACGGGGUGGUGAAGUGAUGGAGCAAAACCAUUCUCGGAAGAAAUCAGAAAAGUGUGCGCACAAGAAACAAACCUACAAGUGUCUCAACAAAAAAUAUUUGCAGAAGAAGCCUUCAACGCAAAGAUUUGUAGCCGUCAACUUAGCGUGAACGAUCAUUGUCCGCAGUGAGAUAGCCGAGCGUCUAGUGACGGUGUUCGAGCGUUGUGUAGCACCGUCGAUUGAUUGCUGUACACCAGUGCUCACUGCACGCGCAAGCUGUAGAAUGCGUGCUGUGAAAUGGUGAAAACACAAAACCAAAAAAAUAUCUAAAUUUUAUGCAAUUUAAAACCAAGAGUACUUAUUUAAAACGAUGAAUGGAGCAUUUUUGUACCUUCCGGCCUCGACUGUAUUCUCGCCCCAGGUUUGUAACGGUUGCGAUAAAUGCAUUGUUUUAUAUAAGUACUUUAUUAAUACCAACUGAUUCAUUUUAAGCUUGGAAAAUGAGUAGUAUACACGCCGUGUACAUGUGAACAAGCGCAAAAGCCUUGCGGAGCUGCUCUUUCUACUUUUGUCAGUUGCAAUGAAGCUAAAGAGCAGACGACGGGCAACGUUGUAGAAGGCACGGGGUUAUUUUUUUCUCGCGAUCCGGCAUGUGCUGUAGCACAAGAGAGCUCUACUAAACCAGUCAUCAAAAUACAAAAGUAUUUAUUUAUACCGAGAAUUACGCGUUUCAGGAGCACGAUUUUUCAAGUGGGGCUAUUUUAGUCGCGGAGGCAAUCGGCUGUGGCGCUUCGGUCAUCUGGGCGGGGCCUCCCCUUUUUUCUAAAUUUGUAUCCGACUAUAGUAAAGUGCAAGGAACAGUAUUUAUUACAUUUCACAAGACAAUUUGCUUAAUUGUGCUUGUUUCUUUACUUGCAAAUCAAUGGCUAGGGAAGUGCUAACAUUUGAAAUUUUAGACUAACAAAUAGAAUAUUGCCCUCUUCAACUCAGUCUCACUGUCAAACAGUCGGUAUUCGCAAAUAUGAAUAUUUUUUGCAUAAUUUUGCAAUGCUUCACAUCGUCAACUUGCGUGAUCAAACAUAAACAAGAAUGCAAUUACUUUCAUGCUGGCGAUAACUGAUGCAAAACAUGAGAAGUUACUUAACAGGUGCUGUGCUGCCGAGGGAGUCGAAAUUUCCCACCUAAGUCAUGAUCGUUCGCUCAUAUUUUGAUCAGAUGUGUCAUUCUAUCAACAGGCAUUGUUUACUACUACUUUUGGUUGCAGCACACUAGUGCCCUCUUAAGAAAUAAAUUGGGAUGUAUUGUCACAGCACUAUUUCAUAUAAUAGUGGUCGCGGGUUCAAUUCACGGCCACGGUGGCCCAACCCCAAUCAGCGCAGAAUGGAAAAACACUCAUGUGCUCGGAUUUUCAUGCUCAUUAAGGAAACCUCGGUGGUCUAAGUUAAUCUGGAACUUCCCGAAUGCACAGAUGCCAAACAAGCCCACAAGAUGGCCUUGUUGAACGUCAUACCCUUUAUGCACCAAAAAGCUGUCAGUAUAUAGACUGGUUUUUUUUUUUCUAAUCCUGCAUUUAUGCAUUUGGCCCUCGUAUCGUUCGUUGCUUUGGAAUGUUAAUCCCUGCAACUUAAUUUCAUUUGAUGUAAUAGUCGCACCACCAGGCAUUGGGCAUUCCAGGAUCCCCCCCCCCUUCUUUUCUUGCUCUUGUUGCUGGCUACGUAUUUCCGAGUUAGUCACGACACUUACUCUGUGUAGGUUCACAUUACACAAACAUGUUGAGCAGGCCUGUAGGUCUGUCUCAUUAAACUUCGUUUUGAUAAUGCGUGACCUUUGAAGCUCUGAAAAAAGUAGCAGUAUGCCAAUAAACAAUUUUUUUCUUCAAACGCUGCAGUUGUACUUUAGUAAAGCAUCCUUCCUAACGUGCAGUAUGACAACGAAACCUGUGCUAACAUUGCAAACACUAGAACAUAGUUGUUGCUUUAUACCAAAAUAAAACAAAUAAUUCACUAUUUUAAUACUAUUUGAAAAGUGUUAAGCUUUACUGGUUUGUAGCACUAUUCGAUUCUGCCUCAAAAUGUACUUUUUGCGCACCUAGCUACAGCUGUAUUUUGCCUCAAGCAAUUGCAUAACGAAGCCCGUACAUAUGUAAAUCCUCUGACUGUAUAUGUCCGAAACUCCAUAGUAGUGUGGUGAAAACAUUCCAGCAGUUUUCACUGGUUACAUCGGUAAAUGAGUUCUUCAAUUAGCUUUCUUUAUUUGAAAGAAGUCUCGUGCGAAAGUGUGCGAGAACAUAGAAUUACGGCGUGGGAAGUAAACAUUUUAUUCAGCCAUUUCGCUGGGUAAAUAAAUGGCACAUGUUGUCGUCACCUGCAGAACAUAUACAUCAAACAGCAAAUUUGUGGGAAAAAAAUUGGGAGAAUCCUUAAGCUUCACCCUUAAAGUGUAACGCAAUAGCAUUCAAAGAUCUCCGACUGCUUCUCACACCUCCCGACAACUGCAGCUUAUGUAACCGUAAUGUUUGUCGGGAAACGCUGGCAUCGAAUGCUAUGCACGAAGGCGAGCUUUCUGGUAGAAUUGGCACGCUGUGUGGUAGAGGUGAGUGCCAUCUGGACGCGUUGCAAGAAAAUGGGCGCACCGCUGCAUGGCCUCUGAGAUUGGCCCACGUGCGUGCACCGGCUGGCGCGUGCAAAUCUUGGAGGCCAUGGCUCCUCUAUGAAUGGUAGAAAUGCUGGAAAAAGGGUCUGUGUUUGAAUUUCCACAUAACAGAAUUGUUUUCUCGUAUACUCAAAUUACAAUCCGACGCUAUCCUGUCUGUAGAAUGUGUUUAGAUUGUACAUUAUGAUUUUUCUGAUGCAGGUUACCUUGAGGAAUUCAAUUGGUUCAGUAAUGCCUCUGCGCCACUCAGAUGACCUGCGUGGUUGUGGUUCGGAAUGAUUUUUCGCCAAGCAACGUCCAACGCCAACAUAGGAUUUUUUGUGACACGGGCCCUUAAGGCUAUCGCGUUAGUAAUUCAGGUGAUUGAACUGGAGUGGCACAUUGUCUCCUUAAUUUCAUCACCACCCUUCACAAUUUUAUCCAAGAAAGACGACCGCACCCAAGUAAGAGAAAGAUACCUGUCUGCACAGUACCUUUCCAGUAAAUUCUUGUGAUAUUGUUUUUUACCACACCAUGGGGCCAUUGGCUCUCAUGAAUAAGACAGACAAAAUUACAGUGGAACUCAACAAUUCCUCCUCUUUUCAAGGAUAUAUAAAGCUAGCAAUUAUUUUUUAUCUCUAGCAUAGGCUCCCUUGGUCCCACCCCCUCCUCCGACCUUCCAAUAUUCGAAUCCAGUUCUGCAAAAUCCUCUUUCACCAUGCACGUCUUCAUGGGCUAAAUGCAGAAAGUUUUCUUGGUGCGUAGUCGGCUGCAAAAGUUUACAGGACAUCCAAACAAAUGUUGAAUUUUACUCUGUUAAGGCCUGCCGAUUCUAAUUUAAUGGGACAUUACGUAGGUUGCAAACACUAGUGCAUAUUGAAACUUUGAAUUCAAGGCUAUGUAAUAUAGGCUUCACUAGAUUUCAGUGCUUUUUGAAAUCCCAUGUCCUGUACGUUCUUGUGGCUGACUGUACAUUUUGCGUAUCAUCCCAGUGAUAAACGGUAUUGACAAUAAAGGCGAUAGUUAUGUGCCCGGGCUUCACUCCAACUUUGCUGUUCCUCAGAUUCUUUGUCCCGUAGACUUUCACGGCUGAAUGUACGUUCUUGUGUCUCAUCCAAAACAAAUGUCGACAAUGAAGAUGACAGUUAGUCGUCUUGGCAAGUCUUCCCCUCACCCCCUCCCUUUUUUAACCCUUCAACUCCCAAACAGGCUUCUCUGGAAUUAAGUGAUAUUUCAAAUCCAUGUCCCCUAAACUUUUGCGACUGAUUGUACAUUUUCUGUCUUAUCCAAACAACAAAAGUAUGACAUGAAGGUGAUAGUAAAGUGCCCGGGCUUCCCUAGAAUUCAGUGCUUUCUCAAAUCCUGUGUCACGUAAACAUUUGUGGCCAACUGUACAUUUUGUACCUUAUCCACAUGACAAAAAAGUAUUGACGGUGAAGGCGAUUGUUAUCAGAAGUACUUUCAUAUACCAUUAAAGCUCAUUGAGCUUGUCUCGAAUAUUGACAACUGUCGAUGUUGGUUUUGCUGGAGCACAUCUCGCUACAAAGUGUGUGGCAUUAUUUCUGCAAAAUCUCUCUCAUCCCUGCAUCCUCUUUAUGUCGCAGCUGGUAAAGCCAGCAGCAAGGCCAGGGAAGUUGUGUCUGUAAAGCAGGAACCGACGUCAAGCUCAACACCAUUGCAAAAACUGUGGUGUCGAUGCAAGGUAUGCCCCUACAUUAGCAGCAACAUGUGGCACCUCAAACGCCUUCAGGCUAUCCACGCUCCGGGAGAUAAACGAUUCACCUGCCACCUGUGCCCGAUGACUUUUAAACAAAAGGAGAACAUGGUGAAGCAUGUACGGACACACAAUACGCAGCGCUACCAAGAAGCUUCAGCCAACCAAGCUAACCAAGAAGCCCAAGAAGCUUCAGCCAACAGAAGUGCCUCCCAAAGCAUGCAAGCUGCCACCCGUUUCUCAAGUUAACUCCAUAACUGCGUGAUCGUAUCUGGAAACGAACACCGAACCUUGGCAAGUCUUCCCCUCACCUCCUCCCUUUUUUAACCCUUCAACUCCCAAACUCCCUUGUAAAAAAGUGCGAAAAAUUCACUGUUUCCUUUUUGUUCCAGCAAAUUAUUGCGUCUCAUAUCCCAAUUCGAUAAAGGUAGAGCAUCGCACUCGUAAAUGCGAAGACGUGGGAUCGUUCCCCACCUGCGGCAAGUUGUUUUUUCAUCCACUUUUAUUUCCAUUAAUUUAUGAUUUCGUUAAUUCAUUUAGUAAGUAUAAUUUCCCCUAGUUGUCCUUGGUGUCAUUGUUUGUUGGCUUCUUAUGAUAUACUUAAUAAAAAUUGGGCCCCUCGAUUAACCCCCUUUCUUCUCGUUUAUUCUAUAAAGGUGUUACGCAUACGGUUUAUCGAUUACAGUAAACCCUUGUGGUAGUGAGGUCACUGGGACAGAAAAUUAACUUUGUUACGAGUGCUAUUUCGUUAGAAGCAGAGAAGCUGUAAUAGGGUCAUAGCAAUGUGAGAACGUAAAAAACUUUAAAUAAAGCAAUAUUUCAAAUAAGUUGAGUUUGUUGAAGUGAUUGUUUACUGUAUAUUAAUCCGAAAUAUUAACAAAAGACAUCUGUUCUUAGGGAGACUUUCCCUCGCCACGCGUGACAGGUUCGAGCAUAAUUAUCUGAGCAGAUAACAAAAACAAUCGAAUGCACCCUGAAAUAAUAUGUUGAAGUGCCAAAACUCAAAUGCACGACGUGAAUUAAGUUUAUGGGUACGGCUUGUCUAGCAUUAUUGGUACAGCACCUAGGACAAGUUCAGUUCGUGAUUGGUAGUUAAAUGGUCAAGGAGCAUCGACACAUUUUUUUUUGAAGCUGUAGAGGCUCUACCAGACGAUUACCAUACGUAAAAGCCUAAAAAGCUGACACUUACCAACUGUGAAGGUUGGGAAGUACAAGAUAUUCUAAUUUGAUAUUAAAGUUGUCUGUAAACGUCAGACUUUCCAUCAUCGACAUUAUCGUCAUGACUCAGAGCAAAAUUUGAUGUCAUGUAGCAGUAAGGCUAGGUGUGACGUCGUUGCUUGUGAAAAAUAAAGAAGGGCGCUGUGCGUGGUUCUUUUGAGUGCACUCACAUGUAGCAGCCACAAUGGCUGCAGGAACAAAGCGAGCUAGCGUAUCAUGACGGUGUGAUGCAUCCUCCUCCUAAGUACUGAUACUGAGGCUGGUUUAUGGAAACAAGUAUUACACUGGUAAAUAUUUAGGAGUGCUCUGACAAUUGCCGGUAAUUUUUAGUGUAUACACACUUUGGGCCUUCAUAUAGCGAAAAAAAAAAUUUUCAAUUCGGAAACGUCAUGUCCAUAGCCCUUUAAUCUGCUUCCAAUUCCUUGUUUUGGGCUGUAUGUUGUCAGGAGCUUAACUUCUGUUCCUUUUGUUUUCAGCCUGGAAAAAAAAAUGCAAUGGAGGGCCUGCGACGAUGUCCACCUGCCGUCCCAGCUGGGCUCUGCACGUCUCCAACCCUUGGGACCAUCAGUCAAGUGACGGCGAGGACAACACGAACGUCGUUUUCGAGCUUGGAGGAAUUGCGGCAAGACCGUUUUUUUCGUUGCGAGCUGUGCCAUUACACGAGCUCCAGGUGGUGGCACGUCAAACGCCACCAGUUGACCCACACAGGCGAGAGGCCAUUCAAGUGCCACCUGUGCCCUAUGACCUUUGCUCUGAAGCAGAACUUGGCAAUCCAUUUACCGACGCACACGCACAAGCGGCUCUACGAGUGCACAUUUUGCCUUCGAACCUUCACCAGGCAACAGGGGCUCACGAACCACGAAAUGCGGCACAAGCAUUCAGGAUCAAAUCCAGCAGUUUGAGGCAGGAUCGAGCAGGCGACAUCAAAGAGGAAUCAUUACUGUUAUCAAGGUCAGGUGCCACUAGAAAACUUGUGCUUGCACAAGACAUCGUGUUUUUUGUGUGGAGCACACCAAAAGUUUUCGAGACAACCGGCUGCACCACUUGGACUGAUUGCUCCACCUUUGUAUCCCAAUUGGACUCUGCCAAUAUGAGACCACUCUGAAUUUUCUGACAUGCUAGGAAUGGCAUUUACGAAUUUUCUUGCUUUUUUGAUUUUCGCAUUGGAAUGGCCAAAAACGCUAUGUGUGGGCACGAGGAGACCAUUCAACAAGGUUUAUGUGACUGUCCUCGCUGCAGUGUAUGGAGACGUUUGCUAUUAACUGCAUUAGCUCACAUUAGUCCCUAGACAGGGGCCCAGCUGGCUUCUGCUUACCGUCUUUCCUGUCGUAUGAUGGCCAUUGAAAUCUCUUCCUGUGAACUGAACAGUGCCGCUUUCCAUUGUGUGUGCUCCAUAAUUUCUGUGUUUUUCUUACGUGUAUAUGCCGUGGUUGCCCAUGUAACGUGGUCUGGGGUUGACACGACCUCGCACCAUGAUGGCAUGCGUCUGUAUAUCUUUCUGGAUAAAUUUUAUGAAGAAUGUGCUGGUUGUUAUAAGUAUAGGUUUGCAGCUUUCUCUAAAUAACCUGCUCUUCCUUAAUGAGAUUCUUCUGUGGGGGUGGUAGUCUCGUUCUAUUGAACAUUGCAUUUCUAGUAGCACAAUCAGUUACGACAGUCCCUUCUGUAUUGUUAGCUUCAGGAAUCUCAUGAUCUACUAGCUAGUGUGCUCUCUGCGGCAGUAAGUCACACACCGUGGUGAGCAGUGUUGGGCAGAAAUGAUUGACUUCACAUGCUUGAAACAACCGUGUAUAUAAAGCAUGCCAUUGACAUAGCAGUGCACGAACACUUUGUCAACUGAAAGCUUGCAUUUCGCAACAAGAUGACAUAUAAUCACAAACAUGCUCUCUAACAUAAACAAGAUGAAGUUAUCAUUAGGUGGACUUGGGAACCCUCAGCCAAUGUUUUGACAAAGGGAUCUGGGGAUUUGUCUAAACUUUUUGAAGGCCCUAACAAAGUCAUUUUGCCUAUAAGCCGUCGGGCUACCCAUGUUUACCCUCUAUAGCGGCAUGAUAUCAUAACCAUGGCAGUCCGCACAGAAGCAACUUGUAUCAAAUAAUGAAAGCUCUUUCAGUGCAAAAUACAGUUAAAUGUCAGUAUAACAAACAUAGAUGUAAAGAAUUAUUGAAUAUAAUGAAGGAAUGCUAGAAUUAUUAUAGCUUAUUGCAUGUAAUUAAAAUGCCAGGUGAUCAAUUUUAACUUCUACAGAAUUUUUAAAAAUCACCUGUGGCAGAUGGCAUAAUUCCAGUCCUAGAGCAGAAGUAUUUAAAGAGGCGGGCAUUACUUGCAGGAAAAAUUGAAACACAUAUCCAACUAAUCCACCGAAUUCACUAGUUAAGUUUUCCAUUGAUUAAUUUGCAGCACAUAUUGCAAUUUGCUAAUUAUAGGUGGUUAGUUUCCAAGGCAUAUCCACUUGGAAUUUUCAGAAUGACCCCAGUUUCAAGAUAUUCGUUGCCAAAGUGCGAUGAAAUACAUGGGCAUUCCAGUUAAUAUUGUGCUUCAAUGCAUAAAAGAGCAUUUUCCUAAAAAAAUUAAGUGGAACAGUGCGUACUUAUGCUAGCUUGGUUGUGCGUAUCUCAAAAUGCGUGCUAUGCUAUCUUCAAAAUUAAUGGACAUACCUUGCAAAUUCAACAGCUACAAUUAGUAAAUUGCAAUAUGUGCUGUAAAGUAAUUAAUGAAGUUCAUUCCUAAAUCUUUGCAUGAUAAUUUGUUUCCAUUUCUCAUACAAGUGUAAUGUCCACAUCUGAACAAUCCAGCUCAAGGACUAGAAUUGUGCUAUCUGCUAUAUUUAAAAUUAUGUCAAACUUAAAAGCGACCACACCGUAGAUCUUCUGAUCAUUAUUGGAUAUAUUGAAAUGAUUUUUGUUGUCUGCGACUUUGUUAUUGCGAGGUUUUGGCAGUAUUCUCACUCACUUUUGUUAAUUUACUGACACAUAGCAUCACUUUGAAAGCAGAUUGUGUUUCUGACUUGCCAUUUCAUGGUUGUGGUACUUUUUGUUUCUCAAUCAUUUGCUAAAAAUAAAUCGUAACAAACAGA